AUUUCCCAAAAUAAACCUCCUUCUUGCCUGGGGACAAGAUUGCCUUUGUAGGACUAACAUUAGCCAAAAGAGUAGAAAUUAUGGUUUAGGAGUCAUGUAGCUGGAGGUUAAACUGCCCCUAAGAUCAGUGCUUGAGAUAUUUUGCAGGCCCUGCACUUGAUAGAUCAGCUGGCACCACCCAGACUGAUAAAUCAGCACAUCUGAUUUUGCGGCCCCCACCCAGGAACUGACUGAGCACUAGAGGACAGCUUCAACUUCCCAUGAUUUCGUCUCCUACCUAACCAAUCAGCACUCCUGGCUCACUGGCUUCCCCCCACCAAGUU
rnacentral:lncRNA from 1 species